GGGGGUAUAGCUCAGUGGUAGAGCAUUUGACUGCAGGUCAGAGGUCUCAGGUUCAAGUCCUGGUGCCCCCU